AUGCCAUGAUGAGUACAUUUUUGAAACAACUCCUUGAAUCAUACUCAUGCAUCAUAGAGGGAUUCAUAGUCAAGUUGUUAAAAUGUGGUGCUUUCAUUUCUGAGCUU
rfam:Gossypium raimondii scaffold_14_contig_28, whole genome shotgun sequence.